UACGUAGGGGGCAAGCGUUGUCCGGAUUUAUUGGGCGUAAAGAGCGUGUAGGCGGCCAUACAGAUCAGCUGUGAAAACUCGAGGCUCAACCUCGAGACGUCGGUUGAAACCGUAUGGCUAGAGUCCGGAAGAGGAGAGUGGAAUUCCCGGUGUAGCGGUGAAAUGCGCAGAUAUCGGGAAGAACACCUAUGGCGAAGGCAGCUCUCUGGGACGGUACUGACGCUGAGACGCGAAAGCGUGGGGAGCGAAACAGG
rnacentral:rRNA from 1 species